ACGCUCGACACCUACAGGAGGCAGCAGUGGGGAAUAUUGCACAAUGGGGGAAACCCUGAUGCAGCGACGCCGCGUGAGUGAAGAAGUAUUUCGGUAUGUAAAGCUCUAUCAGCAGGGAAGAAGAUGACGGUACCUGAGUAAGAAGCCCCGGCUAACUACGUGCCAGCAGCCGACGGUAAUCUGAGGCGGGCGUGGACGAAGGC
rnacentral:rRNA from 1 species